UUUGCCAGAUGACUCUCUUUCUAG
rnacentral:siRNA from 1 species